ACCCAACAUUUACCCCAGAGGAAGAUACUCCUAAUUAUCCUAAAGAAACUGCACUCCAGAUUGUUAUUCUCAAUACUGGACUCUUUUCCACUUCAGCACCCAGACUGAGAACAAGAUGUCAUCACUGCUCAGCCUGUCCCAACUACAUGUUGCUGAAGUAAAGCCCCCAGAAAGUGUGGUAGAGAGGUUCUGAGACCAUGGGUCACUAACAGGAAUGGAAAGCGAAAUGGACCUAAGGCUACCGCCUUCCCAAGAAGUGCUGAGCCCCUGAGGGGGGUGGCAUUCUCAGAGAAGAGUGGGAUUGUCCUCGCCCUUAGCUUGAAGCUCAGAGAUUUUUCCAGGUGCGAGCAAAAAGGAACAGCCAUUGAAACAGCUUCUAACCUCUUCCCAAAAUUUUGACUGUAUAGCAGAGAGUGAAGAAGUUCAAGCCUAAAGUCAUUCUCAAGAACAAUAGAGGCUGUGGUGAAACAAACUUAAGAAGCGAUCCAAAAAUGCAGACUAAACUGUAGGCUAGCUAGUUUUCAGCUAUUUCAGUAAACCUGGAAGUAGAAAGUUGGGAAGAAUCCUCUCAGGGUCAGCACAAAAAUAAAAUAGU